rnacentral:rRNA from 1 species
AUUGAACGCUGGCGGCAUGCUUUACACAUGCAAGUCGAACGGUAACAGGUUAAGCUGACGAGUGGCGAACGGGUGAGUAAUGCAUCGGAACGUGCCCGGUCGUGGGGGAUAACGCAGCGAAAGCUGCGCUAAUACCGCAUACGAUCUGAGGAUGACAGCGGGGGACCGUACGGCCUCGCUCGAUCGGCGCGGCCGAUGUCAGAUUAGGGAGUUGGUGGGGCAAAGGCGCACCAAGCCAACGAUCUGUAGCUGGUCUGAGAGGACGACAAGCCACACUGGGAAUGGGACACGGCCCAGACUCCUACGGGAGGCAGCAGUGGGGAAUUUUGGACAAUGGGCGAAAGCCUGAUCCAGCAAUGCCGCGUGCAGGAAGAAGGCCUUCGGGUUGUAAACUGCUUUUGUACGGAGCGAAAAGGUCUCCUCUAAUACAGGGGGCUCAUGACGGUACCGUAAGAAUAAGCACCGGCUAACUACGUGCCAGCCGCCGCGGUAA